ACUAAACACCCACCAUAAAAACCACACACACUCCAAACAGUACUGCACACACCCAAAGGAGUCGCUGAGGCCCCCACGUUUAAAGGGCCAGUACCCCUCUUUCCUACACACCCGCCCUCACGUUUAAAGGGCCAGUAUCUCCGCCUGCACCCCAGUUUCAUCUUUUACACACGAAAGGAGUGAGCCCCCGCCUUUCCUGCACCCCACCUCCGGACUCCGCAUCCGUCGGAGACUCUUCUUGGCAGGGCUCCUCUGCAGGUCACGUGGAUAAGACUGACUCUCCCACCAGAGGAGGUAGGACAUCCUGUGUCCAGGGGCCACUUCCUGACCCUUGAAAUUCCACGCAUAUCGCGAUUGAAGCAAGAGUUUCUGGACCACUGACCACCUUGAGUCUGGCAAACAAGGUCCUGCAGCUGUCUGCACACUGGGCCUGUGUCAUGUCCAUUUCACUGCUGGCUGCCCAAGGGCCAGACAUUGAGCCCUCCAGUGUCCGUCUGGCCUACAUGCACCCCAUGCCCUGGGUUGAGUGAGGGCUGGACGCAGCUACAGAAUAGCCCCCAUUUCCCCACCCAUGAUCAGCUCUAGGCCUAAAUCUUUGAAGAAAUGAUGCUUCUCCCAAUUUAUUCUGCAAGUUAGCCAUUAAAAAGAAAACAAAUUAAGCAUUUGUGCUGCCUUUUUAUAGAAAUAAUAUUUCAAGGUAACUAUCUACAAUUGAUGGAGAAGACUUCUAAUUUACAGAAGAAAUCUGCUAAUAAAUGUGGAAGGAAUGUGGAAUUAGAAAAAUCACCAUUUUCAAAUGAUUGAUCAAUUGAAGCAAGAAUCAUCAAUGGACAAAGCCAGGAUGAUGGCUGAUGGAGAACUUCACAAUGGAGAAAUCAAGCCAUCAUCACCUGACUCCACUGAGGAAUCUCAGCACCAUUAAAAGGGGCACAACUGGACACUGUGUAGCUCCAGAUGUGAUACCAUCUGAAGCAGUUAGCACCACCUAUGAGGGAUUCUUGCCAAAUAAAGAAACAAACAAACAAAAAUGAACAUGACUCUAAGCAAGCCUCUAAAGCCAACUUGAACAGGAAAUACAGGGGAUGGAGGGACAAAUUAAGGGACACAACAAGGAAGCAAUCAGACAUAUCCAGAAGAUGAGACAUUCAGGGAAAACUGACCCAGUUUCUUCAGUUACUCAAUGACUAGGCAAAACAGUGAGAGAGGACUUAAAAAGACGUAUCUACUAAAUGGAAUAUGUGGACGUCAUUUGGUUCCUGAUUUGGACAACCUAAAUUGUAAAAAGACAUUUUGAGAUAGAUGGGGACAUUUAAUUAUAGAUUGGGUAUUUCUGAUGCCAAGGAAUCAGUGUUAAUAUUGUUAGAUAUGAAAAUGGCUUUGGGGUUAUGUAAGAAAAGUCUCAUUUCCUAGAGAUGCAUGCUGAACUAUGGAGCGAAAUGACAUUUUUAAUUUUAAAUAUCUCAGCAAAGGGAAAAAGACAGAAAGAAAGGAGUACAAUGAGCAAAGGUGGCAAAAUCUUAAUAAUUGAUGAAUCUGCAUCAUGAGUUUAUGGGGGUUAACAGAACAAUGCUCUAUACCUUUGUUUAUAUUUUAACAUCUUCCUAAUAAAAGUUUUACAUGAUGCUGCUCUGGAAAGCAUGGUUCCUAGUAACUUGCAGAGCAACCCCCUUCCCUGAAAGCCAGGAGUGAACGCACGACUCUACCCACACAGAUCCCAGCCCUCCAUGCCCUCUAUUAGAAGUAUGUCCUAGAGCUGGAUUGCACUUGGAGGUUGCCCUUUAUCCCCUCCAGUCCUUCCCCGGCAAAUUUCCCACAUUCAGGACUUUUUCCAGCUGUGCUUCACAGCUCUGAGGGGGCCAGGGGAACUUUUAAGGGUAAGCAUAUUUUGAAUAGGUCUUACAUAAACAAAGAUAGUACAAAAUAAUGUGGUUUUGCUUUUCAUCUCUCUCUGGCAGGUACUUCUGAGCAAAAUGCAACUCAAUAAUGGGAGAAAACGGUUUUUGUUCUUGGGAAACAGAAGGAAAGGAAUUUAAGGUCAUCCUGUCCCAUCCCCUGCCUCCAGGCAAAUAACCUGACCCUAAAAGACAAGACCACCAAGAAAUGAGAGACUCUGUGCCAUAUGUUCAAAAGGCUGAAGCCCAGGACUGGGAUGGAGGGCAUUUGGGUCCACCAAGGACACACUUACUGAGUAAACUUGACGAAAUCAUGAUUUUUGAGUCUUAGUGUUUCUAGAUGAAAGUAUGGGAACCAUUACCCCUUUCUACACUCCAGAAGGGAUACCAGCUAGGGAUGAAGGCACUUUGGAACUUGAAGGAUAUAAAUCUCAGCUGUUUAUUACAAGAGAGUAUUUCUCAAGAUGUAAUCCCAAGUGCCCCCACCCUCUACUCUUCAUGGCACAGGAAGGAGUCAUAAUGCCUAUGGAAGGUCAAAGCUUUAAUAUAAAGAAAACAAACAUUUACUAAUCACCUGUGCAGGUAUUUAAACUCAUGUAAUCAUCUCAGAGACCAUAUAAGCUAUUUGGAUUGAUUGUAAAGUUUUGGUAAUGGAUGGUGGUGAUGGUAGAACAACAUUGUGAUUGCAGUUAACAGCACUGAUUUAUAUAUCUGAAUGUGGUUAAAAAGGGAAAUUUUAGGUUUUGUG